AUUCCGGUUGAUCCUGCCGGAGGCCAUUGCUAUCGGAGUCCGAUUUAGCCAUGCUAGUCGCACGAGUUUAGACUCGUGGCAUAUAGCUCAGUAACACGUGGCCAAACUACCCUACAGACCGCGAUAACCUCGGGAAACUGAGGCCAAUAGCGGAUAUAACUCUCAGGCUGGAGUGCCGAGAGUUAGAAACGUUCCGGCGCUGUAGGAUGUGGCUGCGGCCGAUUAGGUAGAUGGUGGGGUAACGGCCCACCAUGCCGAUAAUCGGUACAGGUUGUGAGAGCAAGAGCCUGGAGACGGUAUCUGAGACAAGAUACCGGGCCCUACGGGGCGCAGCAGGCGCGAAACCUUUACACUGCACGACAGUGCGAUAGGGGGACUCCGAGUGUGAGGGCAUAUAGCCCUCGCUUUUCUGUACC
rnacentral:rRNA from 1 species